AACCGGAAACGUUUUUGCUACUGAAGUUGGGAUCACGGAGGAGAUUAUCAACACCGCCGGCGACGGUGAUGGCAGAACGAACAAGGAUAACUUUGUCUCCUACGAACCCUAACCGACUGCUUCAAAUCAAAUCAACUCUCGUUGGCGAUCGACUCUCACCGCGAUGGACCUGGAGUAAAGAAGUCGAUUCCAUAUGUUAUAUUAUAUGAUCAUCCUCAUCGCGAGCAACUGCAAGAAGUGUGCUGCUAUUACUUGAAUUUCAGUUUUGCUGCUGCACGAACUGUGCCCCAUGUUCCACGUUGUUGUCAGACAGGUGUGUCGGUUUACCACAAUCACCCUUGACAUUGAAUUAACUGUUUGACAAUAUGUUGUGCAAAUGUCUAGUGAUAUAUAUUAUUGUAAUUUUGAUUGUCCUA